rnacentral:rRNA from 1 species
GGGGCGUGCGGCAUGCCUUAACAUGCAAGUCGAACGGCAGCGCGGACUUCGGUCUGGCGGCGAGUGGCGAACGGGUGAGUAAUACAUCGGAACGUACCCUGUUGUGGGGGAUAACUAGUCGAAAGAUUAGCUAAUACCGCAUACGACCUGAGGGUGAAAGCGGGGGACCGAAAGGCCUCGCGCAGCAGGAGCGGCCGAUGUCUGAUUAGCUAGUUGGUGGGGUAAAGGCCCACCAAGGCGACGAUCAGUAGCUGGUCUGAGAGGACGAUCAGCCACACUGGGACUGAGACACGGCCCAGACUCCUACGGGAGGCAGCAGUGGGGAAUUUUGGACAAUGGGGGCAACCCUGAUCCAGCAAUGCCGCGUGUGUGAAGAAGGCCUUCGGGUUGUAAAGCACUUUUGUCCGGAAAGAAAUUGCUCUGGCUAAUACCUGGGGUAGAUGACGGUACCGGAAGAAUAAGCACCGGCUAACUACGUGCCAGCAGCCGCGGUAAUACGUAGGGUGCGAGCGUUAAUCGGAAUUACUGGGCGUAAAGCGUGCGCAGGCGGUUUUGUAAGACAGGCGUGAAAUCCCCGGGCUCAACCUGGGAAUUGCGCUUGUGACUGCAAGGCUAGAGUGCGUCAGAGGGGGGUAGAAUUCCACGUGUAGCAGUGAAAUGCGUAGAGAUGUGGAGGAAUACCGAUGGCGAAGGCAGCCCCCUGGGACGUGACUGACGCUCAUGCACGAAAGCGUGGGGAGCAAACAGGAUUAGAUACCCUGGUAGUCCACGCCCUAAACGAUGUCAACUAGUUGUUGGGGAUUCAUUUUCUCAGUAACGUAGCUAACGCGUGAAGUUGACCGCCUGGGGAGUACGGUCGCAAGAUUAAAACUCAAAGGAAUUGACGGGACCCGCACAAGCGGUGGAUGAUGUGGAUUAAUUCAUGCAACGCGAAAAACCUUACCUACCCUUGACAUGCCACUAACGAAGCAGAGAUGCAUUACGUGCCCGGAAGGGAAAGUGGACACAGGUGCUGCAAUGGCUGUCAUCGCUCGUGUCGUGAGAUGUUGGUAGGUCCCGCAACAGCGCACCCUAGUCUCUAGUGCUACUCAAAGCACUCUAAAAGACUGCGGUGACAAACCGAGGAACGUAGGAAUGACGUCAGUCCACACGGGCCUAGGCUAGGCUCCAACGC